AGUGAACGCUGGCGGUAGGCCUAACACAUGCAAGUCGAACGGCAGCACAGUAAGAGCUUGCUCUUACGGGUGGCGAGUGGCGGACGGGUGAGGAAUACAUCGGAAUCUACUUUUUCGUGGGGGAUAACGUAGGGAAACUUACGCUAAUACCGCAUACGACCUACGGGUGAAAGCAGGGGAUCUUCGGACCUUGCGCGAUUGAAUUAGCCGAUGUCGGAUUAGCUAGUUGGCGGGGUAAGGGCCCACCAAGGCGACGAUCCGUAGCUGGCCUGAGAGGAUGAUCAGCCACACUGGAACUGAGACACGGUCCAGACUCCUACGGGAGGCAGCAGUGGGGAAUAUUGGACAAUGGGCGCAAGCCUGAUCCAGCCAUACCGCGUGGGUGAAGAAGGCCUUCGGGUUGUAAAGCCCUUUUGUUGGGAAAGAAAAGCAGCAGGUUAAUACCCCGCUGUUCUGACGGUACCCAAAGAAUAAGCACCGGCUAACUUCGUG
rnacentral:rRNA from 1 species